ACUGUCGUUCCCCAUCGUCGACUCACUCUUCUCACCUCGGCCCGACUAACGACACAAGAAACUGAGCCACAACUCAGCUAAAGCCGAUGCCGACGUCGACAGCGGCCAGUACUCUCAAUGCAGACAACGACACAAGAAAUUGAGCCACAAGUCAGCUAAAACUCAGCCAAGACUCUCUGUUCCCGAUCGGUGCCCUCAAAGCAAACAACAAAGCAAGAAACCCAACCACAAGACUGUAAUUCGAUUGUGUUAUGCUGAGCUCUGUUUUUUGUAAAAAUUCUAGGGUUAUUUAAAAAAUUAAUGAUAAAAAGUAGGGUGCAGAAAUCAAACUCACCUCCUUGCUUUGUUGAUGUAGUGGAUUUGUGUAGUGUGAUUUUUUGUUGGAUUAUGAUCAGAUUAUCCACUUUCACCGGGCAAAGAUUGACAGGAAAUCUCGUUCUGUUUUUGGUGCGAAACUGUAAACAUAGAAAGUAAAAAGUGAAAGUGAAGAAGAAAAAUCUGCAGA
rnacentral:lncRNA from 1 species